UGCGACAGGGUUUCUCUGUAUAGCCCUGGCUGUCCUGGAACUCACUUUGUAGACCAGGCUGGCCUCAAACUCACCUGCCUCUGCCUCCUGAGUGCUGGGAUUAAAGGCGUGCGCCACCACGCCUGGCCCAUUACUUUAUUUUUUGGUUUUUUGUUUGUUUGUUUGUUUGUUUGUUUUUUAACUUUAUGGGUAUGGGUGUUUUACCUAUAUGUAUAUCUGUGUACCGGUCCCACAGACCCCUUCAAGGACACACUCCAGGAAGAUGCAAAGGUUCUAGCACCUCUGAAUUACACUGAGCUGGAGACCAAUCCUUUAAC
rnacentral:lncRNA from 1 species